rnacentral:pre_miRNA from 2 species
UAUGUAUUCCCUUUGUCUGUAAAUACGUGUCUAAAAAAUGGAUGUAUCUAGAAGUAUCUUAGUUCUAGGUACAUCCAUUUUGAUUCAUUUCUUUGACAAGUAUUUCCGUACGGAGGGGCUAUUAU